rnacentral:rRNA from 1 species
UACGAAGGGGGCUAGCGUUGUUCGGAAUUACUGGGCGUAAAGGGCGCGUAGGCGGCCUAAUAAGUCAGAUGUGAAAGCCCCGAGCUUAACUUGGGAACUGCAUUUGAUACUGAUAGGCUAGAGAGUGAGAGAGGAAAGUGGAAUUGCGAGUGUAGAGGUGAAAUUCGUAGAUAUUCGCAAGAACACCAGUGGCGAAGGCGGCUUUCUGGCUCACAACUGACGCUAAGGCGCGAAAGCGUGGGGAGCAAACAGG